rnacentral:rRNA from 1 species
GAUGAACGCUGGCGGCGUGCCUAAUACAUGCAAGUCGAGCGAACAGACGAGGAGCUUGCUCCUCUGACGUUAGCGGCGGACGGGUGAGUAACACGUGGAUAACCUACCUAUAAGACUGGGAUAACUUCGGGAAACCGGAGCUAAUACCGGAUAAUAUAUUGAACCGCAUGGUUCAAUAGUGAAAGACGGUUUUGCUGUCACUUAUAGAUGGAUCCGCGCCGCAUUAGCUAGUUGGUAAGGUAACGGCUUACCAAGGCAACGAUGCGUAGCCGACCUGAGAGAGUGAUCGGCCACACUGGAACUGAGACACGGUCCAGACUCCUACGGGAGGCAGCAGUAGGGAAUCUUCCGCAAUAGGCGAAAGCCUGACGGAGCAACGCCGCGUGAGUGAUGGAGGUCUUCGGAUCGUAAAACUCUGUUAUUAGGGAAGAACAAAUGUGUAAGUAACUAUGCACGUCUUGACGGUACCUAAUCAGAAAGCCACGGCUAACUACGUG